rnacentral:rRNA from 1 species
AUACGGAGGGUGCAAGCGUUAUUCGGAAUCACAGGGCGUAAAGGACGCGUAGGCGGGUUGGCAAGUCAGAUGUGAAAUCCUACAGCUUAACUGUAGAACUGCAUUUGAAACUGCUAACCUAGAGUAUGGGAGGGGGAGAUGGAAUUAGUGGUGUAGGGGUAAAAUCCGUAGAUAUCACUAGGAAUACCGAAAGCGAAGGCGGUCUCCUGGAACAUAACUGACGCUAAGGCGUGAAAGCGUGGGGAGCAAACAGGAUUAGAAACCCUAGUAGUCC